rnacentral:rRNA from 1 species
UGCCAGCCGCCGCGGUAAUACGGAGGGUGCAAGCGUUAUCCGGAUUUAUUGGGUUUAAAGGGUACGUAGGCGGCCUAUUAUGUCAGUGGUGAAAGCCAGCAGCUCAACUGUUGAACUGCCAUUGAUACUGAUAGGCUUGAGUUCUGUUAAGGUAGGCGGAAUUGAUGGUGUAGCGGUGAAAUGCAUAGAUACCAUCAGGAACACCGAUUGCGAAGGCAGCUUACUGGGCAGAAACUGACGCUAAUGUACGAAAGCGUGGGGAGCGAACAGGAUUAGAUA